AAAUGCUGCAUUAGCCACAAUCUGACACGUAAAUAUAAAAUCUACUUUUUUUUUAUUAUUUUGUUUUUAAAAAAGAAGAAAUAAGUGGAAAAAAAAA
rnacentral:ribozyme from 1 species